rnacentral:rRNA from 1 species
AACGAACGCUGGCGGCAGGCUUAACACAUGCAAGUCGAGCGCCUCGCAAGAGGAGCGGCAGACGGGUGAGUACCGCGUGGGAACGUACCCUUAUCUUCGGAAUAGCUCUGGGAAACUGGAAGUAAUACCGAAUGUGCCCUUAGGGGGAAAGAUUUAUCGGAUAAGGAUCGGCCCGCGUUGGAUUAGCUAGUUGGUGGGGUAAAGGCCUACCAAGGCGACGAUCCAUAGCUGGUCUGAGAGGAUGAUCAGCCACAUUGGGACUGAGACACGGCCCAAACUCCUACGGGAGGCAGCAGUGGGGAAUAUUGGACAAUGGGCGCAAGCCUGAUCCAGCCAUGCCGCGUGAGUGAUGAAGGCCUUAGGGUUGUAAAGCUCUUUCACCGGAGAAGAUAAUGACGGUAGCCGGAGAAGAAGCCCCGGCUAACUUCGUG